UUCUGAUAUUAAUCUAUUUAAAUGCAAGUAAUUAAAAAUUAGCAACAGACAAGUUAAGCAGAUCUCAUUGCAUCAUGUAUCACAGAUCUUAGGCAGCAAAAAGGAUACGGUCACAAUAUGUUGGAUUUUAUUCCGGCUUGAAGUUCACUGUGUGACUCACUGUGAGGCCAUGGCCAACACCUUAAGUCUUUGUCUGAUCUAACUUGUAGGCUUAGGGAACUGUCUGGCAGGGGGCCCCACUGGCCUUACCGGCUCCAACCUUCCCUCGGCAGCCAAGGCCAGAGAGGCCCCAGGCAGGGCGGGCGGCUGGGCAGAGCAGCCUGACGAGCGGCCAGCCAAGACGCUAUGGGACCAAGGAGCCAGGCUAGAGGCGCCGGGGGAAGGGUGGGGGCGAAUGAGGGAGGAGGCAGCAGCAGACAGAGGCGCCGCUGAAGGGGAUACAGGUGACAGCAGCCUGAUAUGGCAGGGCAGAGGUCCAAUUAGCGGGAGCAUGGGAUACAUCAGUUGUCAGGAGGGAUUUAAGGCAGGCUCGGCCAGUGAUGAGGGGCAGUUGCAGGGUGAGUGGUGGAGGAGGAAGUGGAGGAGGAAGAGAAACUGUCACAGUGAUCCUGAGGAACCUGAAGGAGGAGGACUCAGGUGAACCAAAGCCCCCUCUCCUCAAAAACUCUGAGGCCCUGCCUCAGGUGGGGGGGAGGGGUGAGAAGGAGAAGUGAACAAGAGAAUGGCUGUUUAGAGACUAGUGUCAGGGGCGUAACUAUAAUUAGGCAGGGGGAGGCCGUUGUCUCAGGGCCCCCUGCCUUGGGAGGGGCCCUCAGAGGCUCUCCCUCACCCAGCGCCUACCCGAGCUUCCUUGUGUCACUUCUUUUAUUUUUAUUUUUUCAAUUUCAUAAUGUUUUUUCUCCUUGUUCCGGCGCCGGUAUUUCCUUGUUGUCUCUGUCUCCGUCUCCACUCGCCACCCUCGUGGGACUGGGGGCUCCUCCCCCAUCCAUUGGCUGGCUGGCUGGCAGGCACCUACCCUGGUGGUUCCUCAUGUGAUCCAGAGAGUCACAUGAUCAGAUCAGAUCAGCUGCUGCCUGGAGAACUCACCGGCUGAGCAAGCAAGAGAUCACCACCCCAUUGCAGCCUGCCUGUGCCUGCCCUGACUAGACACAAACAAUUAAUCAAUCUAGUUAAGGGAGCUCAGAGGAGGACUCUCGGAGUCAGAGACUGUGAAAGACAACAACAACAACAACAACUGUCUUAAGACAUGGAGGAGGAGCGGUAGCAGGAGGAGUCCUCAGGAAGAAGAGGCUUCUCCCCAACCUGUACACCUUCCAUUCGGAAAGAGGUUUUCAUCUGCUGAUGUUCUACAUUCCAGAAAGCUACAAGUCACUCAAAGGCAAGAGGACAAGAGGGAUUUAAGCAAAUGCUAUUUGUGGGAUAUAUCUUGGAAAAACAGUACUUGCUUCUUCUUUUUUAAUAUCCUGAGCAAUAAAGAUCUUACAAGACUUCGAAAGAGAGGGAGGCAGGGAGGUACUGCCCCAUAAGUUAUCAAUUCCAGGCCUUGGCUUCCUAAUUGACAACCUCAGGGCUACUUUCAUCACUUGUCGACUUCAAACCCACACUCAAUUUUUCCUUAAAGAUGACGCUACAUCAGUAGCUGUAUGGUGUUUAUGGACAUAUUGCAGCAUACAGAAGGAUUUCCGAUAUAGUUUGUAUUAGCAGAGUAAGGAGACAGGGAUUAUAUUAAAAGGAGCACCAAGGCUGAAAACAGACAGUAAGUACUAGUCAACAUUUUGUACUGACCCAAGGAUUAUUUUAAGCCAUCUAAGUAAUAUGGCACAAAACAAACUCUGAAACUGAAAGCUCAAAUGUAGUAUUUGUAUUCCAAAUGGUAUUUUACAUGACCUACAAUAUACUCAACACUAUAACAUGUUUUUAAGGCAAAAUAAAAAAGCUGCUGUUGGAAGGGUGCACAAACACAUCGUCAUAUUUGUGGCAAAACAGAGAAUGUGUAGCAUCUCUGAAAUUAGCUGUACAUCACCAAGAAUGCAAAUAAAUAAAUAAAUAAAUAUUCACACAAUAUAUUAAAAAGUAGUUAAGGCCUGAAUUAUAUUAAAUUUUUUAGCAGGUACAUAACAAAAAAUGAAGUAAUUAUUAUUAAAGAAGUCUACCCAUUUGAU